GAGGAAUAUUGGUCAAUGGGCGGAAGCCUGAACCAGCCAUGCCGCGUGCGGGAAGGAGGCCCUAUGGGCUGUGAACCGCUUUUGCCUGGGGGCAAUAAGGGCGUCGCGCACGUCCGAUGAGAGUACCAGGCGAAUAAGCAUCGGCUAACUCCGUGCCAGCAGCCGCGGUAAUACGGGGGAUGCGAGCGUUAUCCGGAUUCAUUGGGUUUAAAGGGUGCGUAGGCUGUGCGUCAAGUCGGGGGUGAAAUUCCGGUGCUCAACACCGGGGCUGCCCUUGAUACUGUCGCGCUGGAGUGCGGAUGCCGCCGGAGGAAUGAGUGGUGUAGCGGUGAAAUGCUUAGAUAUCACUCAGAACACCGAUUGCGAAGGCAUCUGGCGAAUCCGUAACUGACGCUGAGGCACGAAAGCGUGGGGAUAGAAC
rnacentral:rRNA from 1 species